UAGUGGAGUUUGAAGUGUGACUGAGGUUGUGGACAGGUGUCUUUUAUACUGAUAACAAGUUCACACAGGAGCCAUUAAUACAGGUUUAGCACAGGAUGGCCUGUAUUGCAGUGCAUAGUAUCCCCCUGUUUGCCAUACUGGAUCCAAAUAAAACUCUCCACUCAAGGAAACCGCACCAGUCACAACAAGGUCCAGUAGAAUGCAGGCUAAAAGGCUGUAAAGUCAAAGACCGGACCUGGAGAAUACAUGAGGAACGCUUUGUGGCACACAGGAAACACCCCUGACCAAGUGCGCCUGCUGUGGAAGGACCCGCGCAACGUCGGCUGGAAGGAUAAGACCUCGUACCGCUGGCAGCUCAUGCAUCGGCCCCAGGUGGGCUACAUCAGGUCAGAUUAUAUGUUGGCCC